UUGUUUAAAUCGAAUUAAUAUACUUAUUUAGCUUGAAUUUUCUUUUUUUCCUUUUUUGUUGAGUUGUUCUUAAAAACAGGAAAACAAAUAAAAUAAGCCUAAAGAAAAGAUAAGUAUCCAGAACCCCUUUAAAUUCUGUCUUUACAUCUAUUCUGUUGAAUUCAAAAUUCUAAUGUUAACCGUUUUCAUUUGACAGGGUUUAAUCUCUUCGAAUUAGGCGUUCAUUGCAAUUGCAUAAAUUGGAUUGAAGAAGGACUAUGAACAUACUGGUGUUUUGAAAGCAAAUCAAUGGUUAAACUACCUUAAUAAAUCUGAAGUGGAGCAAAAUACAAAUCUCUACACAAUCAUAACAGGUAGAUGAGGAAUGUGUUGCAGUUUAACUUACAUGUACAUCUGCGAGGACCAUGUCAAAGGUCUCUCCAAAAGCGGUGGUGUAAGUUUUCCAAGAGUGAAGGACUCGGACUUGCACUGCCCAAGAUGUCUUGUAGGGUUUGACGUCGUUGAGAUCAGUAAGGCCCAAUCUUCUACUAAAAUUGUCAAACCGUGAAGCCCAACAUCAAUUUAAAAUACCAAAGUCAAUGGAUAGGAGAUAAUAAUCGGGUGGGUAUUCGGUAAAAGACGCGGACCCUACCGAAGAAAUCAAUUAAUUUUGUUAUUUUAGUCAAUUUUGUCCUUUUGAAUUUCAAUUAAAUGUCUCCUUUUGUAAUAAUUGAGUGGCAAUUUGAGUAAAUAGAUUAGGGAUUUUGG